rnacentral:rRNA from 1 species
GAUGGGCACUGAGACAAAAGGCCCAGGCCCUAUGGGGCGCAGCAGGCGCGAAACCUCUGCAAUAGGCGAAAGCUUGACAGGGUUACUCUGAGUGAUUUCCGUUAAGGAGAUCUUUUGGCACCUCUAAAAAUGGUGCAGAAUAAGGGGUGGGCAAGUCUGGUGUCAGCCGCCGCGGUAAUACCAGCACCCCGAG